AUUGAACGCUGGCGGCAGGCCUAACACAUGCAAGUCGAGCGGAGCGGCGGACGGGUGAGUAAUGCCUAGGUAUCUGCCUGGUAGUGGGGGAUAACGUCCGGAAACGGGCGCUAAUACCGCAUACUAGCAGAUGAGCCUAGGUCGGAUUAGCUAGUUGGUGGGGUAAAGGCCUACCAAGGCGACGAUCCGUAACUGGUCUGAGAGGAUGAUCAGUCACACUGGGACUUGGACACGGGCCAGUAUCCUACGGGAGGCAACAAUGGGGAAUAUUGGACAAUGGGGGAAAUCCUGAUCCAGCCAUGCCGGGUGUGUUGAUAAGGUCUUCGGAUUGUAAAGCACUUUAAGUUGGGAGGCGUUACCAACAGAAUAAGCACCGGCUAACUUCGUGCCAGCCGCCGCGGUAAUUC
rnacentral:rRNA from 1 species